rnacentral:rRNA from 1 species
CCUACGGGAGGCUGCAGUGGGGAAUAUUGCACAAUGGGGGAAACCCUGAUGCAGCGACGCCGCGUGAGUGAAGAAGUAACUCGUUAUGUAAAGCUCUAUUAGUAGGGAAGAAAAUGACGGUACCUGAGUAAGAAGCCCCGUCUAACUACGUGCCAGCAGCCGCGGUAAUACGGAGGGGGCAAGCGUUAUCCGGAUUUACUGGGCGUAAAGGGAGCGUAGACGGCAGUGCAAGUCUGGAGUGAAAGGCGGGGGCUCAACCCCCGGACUGCUCUGGAAACUGUACGGCUGGAGUGCAGGAGAGGUAAGUGGAAUGCCUGGUGUAGCGGUGAAAUGCGUAGAUAUUAGGAGGAACACCAGUGGCGAAGGCAGCUUACUGGACUGUAACUGACGUUGAGGCUCGAAAGCGUGGGGAGCGAACAGGAUUAGAUACCCUUGUAGUC